UUUGUAAUAUUUCAGAAGUUGACAGAAAAAGAAAAUAAAAAUAAAAAAAUAAAUUAGAAAAAGAAAAAAAUGAAUGAAAAAAAAUAAGAUACUCCUUCCGAAAAGGAAAAAAAAUGAAUGAAAAAAAUAGAAAGAUGUCAAUCAAUACACACUCCUUCCGAAAAAGAAAUAAAAAGGAAUAAAAAGAGAAAGGAGAAGAGAAAACAGUUGCUACAGAGUUGUUGAAGUGAAUGAAAUC
rnacentral:lncRNA from 1 species